rnacentral:lncRNA from 10 species
ACUUGCCGAUAGUGGUGACGGCGGCAACAUGUCUGUGGCUUUCGCGGCCCCGAGGCAGCGAGGCAAGGGGGAGAUCACUCCCGCUGCGAUUCAGAAGAUGUUGGAUGACAAUAACCAUCUUAUUCAGUGUAUAAUGGACUCUCAGAAUAAAGGAAAGACCUCAGAGUGUUCUCAAUCUGGCCAGUGGGAGCCCCUCAAGCUGGCUUCUUGAUAUGUCUUCAUUAUUUUUUGAACAUUUACUUAUUUUCUUAUACCACAAAAUGUUCUAGGCUCAUCCUGGUUUUUUUUUCCUGUGCAGGUAUCAGCAGAUGUUGCACACAAACUUGGUAUACCUUGCUACAAUAGCAGAUUCUAAUCAAAAUAUGCAGUCUCUUUUACCAGCAGUGUGAUUCAAGUAAGGUGAAGGAACACAUGCUUAGAGCUGUGGAACAUUUUGAAGAUUAGCAGCCACCCACACAGAAUAUGCCUAUGGGUCCUGGAGGGAUGAAUCAGAGCGGCCCUCCCCCACCUCCACGCUCUCACAACAUGCCUUCAGAUGGAAUGGUAGGUGGGGGUCCUCCUGCACCGCACAUGCAGAACCAGAUGAACGGCCAGAUGCCUGGGCCUAACCAUAUGCCUAUGCAGGGACCUGGACCCAAUCAACUCAAUAUGACAAACAGUUCCAUGAAUAUGCCUU